GACGAACGCUGGCGGCGUGCCUAACACAUGCAAGUCGAGCGAGUGAAUCUCCUUCGGGAGUGAAGCUAGCGGCGGACGGGUGAGUAACACGUGGGCAACCUGCCUCAUAGAGGGGAAUAGCCUUCCGAAAGGAAGAUUAAUACCGCAUAAGAUUGUAGCUUCGCAUGAAGUAGCAAUUAAAGGAGCAAUCCGCUAUGAGAUGGGCCCGCGGCGCAUUAGCUAGUUGGUGAGGUAACGGCUCACCAAGGCGACGAUGCGUAGCCGGCCUGAGAGGGUGAUCGGCCACAUUGGGACUGAGCCACGGCCCCGACUCCUACGGGAGGCGGCAGUGGGGAAUAUUGCACAAUGGGGGAAACCCUGGUGCAGCAACGCCGCGUGAGUGAUGACGGCCUUCGGGUUGUAAAGCUCUGUCUUCAGGGACGAUAAUGACGGUACCUGAGGAGGAAGCCACGGCUAACUACGUGCCAGCCGCCGCAGUAAAAC
rnacentral:rRNA from 1 species